CUCGCGGAGCGGCCUUUUGCCGGGGCUGCGGCGCCUCCUAGCUCUCGCAGAGCGCGUUUUUGGCGCAUUUCGACAUCAAAACUUUCGACGCAGGCCUGGCAGGGAAUGAUUCGCUCCGGUACUCCUGUAAACCCUUAAAGCCUAGUCCUUCACAAGCUUGUUAAGAGGCGGCUGGAGUAAAAGCAGCGUGACCAUCGCAAUGGCCAUGCUUGGCAGGAGGUGCAGCUGCGUUUAUUGAUGCAGGGUUCCACGGCACUUAAGAUCUUGUGAACUGUAUCUGCAAGAAUCGGAUUUAUUGUUAUGCUCCAAAGGACUAGCACCUCUAGGACGGUUCUCCUUGUGAUGAGGAAAGAGGAGAAAAAGGCAGAAAUAUGUUGCUAGUCAUCCUCAGAAAUAAACCCUG
ensembl:lncRNA